UUUGUUGUACCCCGUUAUGUCAAAAAUUUCUUGCCCUUUUGGAGGUUUAAGUUUUUCUGCCAGCAUUCAGUUGAUGUUCUGUGCAAGUCAUUUUACAUGUAGAUGUGUUUUUUUGAUGUGCUUGUGGGAGAAGGUGAGUGUGACCUCUUACUCCUCUACCAUCUUGUUCCUCCCUCCCUCAUUUAAUGUUAAACAAAGUGAAACACAGAAGUGACAAGACUUGGACAAGCUUAUAAAAGUAGUGAGCAACAGGACUAAGAUUCAAACCCAAGAACAUUGGAUCCAAAAAUUGAUCAUACUCAGCCUUUUCCUCUUUGAAGUUGAGAGUCAUGGAAACAAGAAACAUGAGUAGAAAAUCCAAAGUUAUGGUGUGUGUGAUCUCAGGCUGGUCACAAGAAGCAUCAUGAAGAUACGCAUGGAAAUAAGUUCCAUACCUUGAGGCACUGCAUCUUAGCCAUCCUUGCUUCUCCCACAGGCUUAUAGUGUACCACUAGAUGCCUCUUGCAGAAUGAGAAGACUACUGGUAUUGGGUGCUUAGCCCCAUAACAGAAGCUGGUCACUCACAUCUUUCAUGUUCUCCACUCACCCUAUCUUCAACCUUUGGUAAUUUGUAAGUCUGCUCUGGACUCAGUACGUCUCUGUAACCACGCCUUCUUCCACUGUGAAGCUAGCCCUUGAUGCCAACCCAUGAGCCACGGUUACACAUCUGCACUAACUCUCUGUCUAUCAUUCUCUCUAGCUGCCUGUUCAUCCUUGGCAGGGAUGGUGGGAGCUGAAGUUCAAGGUAGAUUAAAUGACAAAACCUUGAACAGUUUUAACAUUCAUCCCUGGGAUGAGAAGUUCUAGGCCCCUUUCCAAAGAAGAGGGGAGGAAUGAUGAUUGGUGUUUUGGGGGGCCACUGAUUUUCAGUCAUUCAAGUCAAGGUCUCUAAAGUGUCUUUCUUCCUUCUUCCUCAUGUAAGCAGGGCAAUUUGGAGCUUAGCAGUCUCACAAGUAAAAUGGCAGAUCAGAAUGAGACCAAUGAGUGAGUGGUGCUUUUCAACACCUCCCAAGACAUCCUCCAAGUGUGACAUCUAAACCAGCAGCAUCAGCAUCACCCAGGGAACUUGCAGAAAUGCAGAUGCUUAGAUCCCACACAAGACUGACUGAAUCAUACUUUUUAUUUUUUUUGUCUUUUUGCCAUUUCUUGGGCUGCUCCUGUGGCAUAUGGAGGUUCCCAGAAAAGGCAAAAAGACAGAAAAAAAAAAAAAAAAACCCAAAACAAAAACUACUGCCCUCAACUCUUCAGUGGUCUCACUACAAAUUCCAGUUUUAUAAAGUAUUGACACCCCCCUUUCCAUCCUCCCACUCCUGUAGAUUCUGAAUGUAGUUGUUUUGAGUAUGGCCUGGGCAUUGAGAGUUUAAAAUUGCCUCUCGAGAUUUUCAAGUGCAGCCAGGGUUAAGGACGAUCCUUCCAGGAUCAAAAAUAUAGCUGAACAGGAAUGGAUAAAAUAGAGCCUGAAGGCAGGUGAAGGAAGGUGCUUACUCUGGGCUUUCUGAUUGAAGGUUAUCAUUACACUCAAUCCUCAAAUAAGAGAAGGCAGCCUCUUCUCAGGAUGUUUUAUGUCCCAGCAUAAUGUCUAGCCAGCAAUCCAGCUAUUUCUAGCCACUGGAAAGAAGAGGACUUGGGUAAAUUGACCAGGUGGAUUAAACAGUGAUGGCCUUCCACUCUCCCUUCUCCUGUGCCCAUGAACUUUCCUUUCAAUCUCUUAGGCUAUUUGUUUUCAAACUUGUCAGCACCAUGGACUUCCCUGGGAAAUUUGUAAAAUGUUGAUUCCUGGGAUCCUGCUUCUGGAGUUUCAUAUCUAAUUGGGGAAGAGUAUGGCCUGUGUAUCAGGAUUUGUAAAAAAUCUCCCCUGGGGGAUUCUAAUAGACAGUGAGGGGGAACAGAAUAUGCCACCCCCAAGUCUGCAUCUUUGUCUUUUUUUUAGGGCCUCACCUGCAGCAUAUGGAGGUUCCAGGGCCAGGGGUCGAAUAGGAGCUGUAGCCACUGGGCUAUGCCACAGCCACAUUAGAUCUGAGCUGCAUCUGCAACCUAUACCACAGCCCAUGGCGACACCAGAUCCUUAACCCACUGAGUGAGGCCAGGGAUUGAACCUGCAUCCUCAAGGAUACUAGUCAAAUACGUUUCUGCUGAGCCAGAACAGGAACUCUCCAAGCCUGCCUCUUUGGCAUAAAGAUUAUUUGGAAAGCUAGCAGACACAUGAAGAGUUCUAAAAGCUGAGCAGAAGUAGCAGUUACCCUCUUAUAAGGGACAUUUACAGUUACAAGGGAGACCUCUGUGUAACAGUGUCUCCUUCUCUGUACCAGGAAGACAAUGACAACUACAUUCCCAGAAACUCAUGAAUGAAGAAGGCACUGACUUCAUCUUCCUAAUAAACUUUACCCUUGUUUACCUGGUCACCUCCCAUAGCCAGACUCCCUCUUCCCACCACUUUCCUUUUGUACUUAAGCAGGUGGCUUAGGCCAUCUCAAGGCCACCAUAAAAAGUUAUUCAUUUUCCUUGGGGAUUUCCCACAUAUACAGGAGGUAUAUAUGUUAAUGUUAAUAAACUUCUCUCUGUAAUUUUUUGUUAAUCUUUUCUCACAGGGAGUCUCAGCCAAGAACUUGGGAGGGUAGAGGGAAAUGAUUUUUCCUUCCCUACAGCAAUGAAAUUUGAAGACCAUUGACUGCUGUAGGCCACUGGCUCUCAGCCUUGCCUGCAACUUGGAAUUACCCAGAGCAGCUUUUAAGUAUCCUGAUGCCUGAUAGCCCAAGACCCUGAUUUCAUUGCUCUGGGGUUCAGCCAGAUGGGUUGGGUUUUUAAGCUCCCUGAGUGCUUCUAACUUGGAGUCAAAAUUGAAAACCACUAGUUUAGGCAUUUGGCUUCCCUUAUCUUCAAGAGAGCGAUCAGCUGUGUUUUGGCAUGCAGGAUUCAAGGGUGAACAUUUUCAUAGAUAGCAGAUGACUGUACAGGUUGUGGGGUGGGGAAAUAUCCUUCUAUUUCUCCAAAAUCACUGAUCGCUUCACCUGUUCUUAAGGCUGGGCAACCUUUUCCACUAAGCCCCAUGACCAGCACACAGUAGAGCAUCCCCUUAGCCUUAUGAAAUGGAUUCAUCUCUCCUGAGCCCACGAGACCCUUCCCAACCACCCAUCCAAUGGUCAUGUAAAUUGCCUAAGUCAAGGGUUCUCAAUUUGCUGCAUUUGGAAACUUCUUAAAAAUACCAAUGUCUGGGCCCCACCCCCAGAUCAUGUGAUAUAACUGCUCUGGGGUGCAAAGUAGGCAGAGGGAAUUUUAAGAAUCUCAGAGGACUGUAAUGAUCAAUUAAGUCUGAAAGCCACUGGCCCAAUGAGAUUUGACUUAGUAAUGGGAAACUGACUUUUGAGCCAAAAGAGCUGAACAAAAGUAGUAAACAAGGUAUGCAGACAUGCAGAAUGGCUUCUAUUUAAGGGCUCCCAUACAAGGUGGUGAAGAGUUUGUAAAAGCAGCAGAGGAUGCUUGCAGAUGAAUUGCUACUGAGAACCCUGUAUUCCAAACCUAAAUGGUCCCCUCCCACAGCUAAGACCCCUGCAGUGUAUGAGCGGCUCCUGCGUCAACUAUGCAGAGUUCACAGAUAUGCCAGUUCUACAGAUGUGAAGGCAAAGCAGCUCUUAUGCAAAACAGUGCCUCUCAACUCUCUCCCUCCUGGUGGGUGAACUUUAUACCGACAUCAAAUGCAAAUUAAAGAUAAACCAAUUUAAGUACUAACUGCCUCUACCUGGUCUCCCCAGGGAGCUGGUGUUUGCGAUUGCACUUUCAAAGCUGUGUGCCACCUGCAGACUGUCAUUUUCAUCAGAUGUACAUAAUUACACAGCCUCAUUUUUGAAGCUAUCCCCUGGCAUGCAUCUCCAGAUUCCACAGUCAUGGAAGACCUUUUCCCAAGUUAAAAUAUCUCCCCCACCCCCCUUUCAGAGGGCACUAUCAGUUUCAAGAUGAGCAUCCGAGAAGAGUUGCCGCCCAUGGCAGCACUCUUGAGGUAGAUUUUGAAGAGAAGUUUAAGUUAAUGUCAGAAGAGAGAAUUGGAUGCUUUGCACUCUGGUUACAAGUCCAUCCCCUGGCUGAUAGGGCUGAGUUCCAGAAGAUGAGUCACAAUGAGUGGGACGUGAAUGUUAAUGGCAAGGAAUAGUAUGUAACAGGAAUCCUCUGAACCAUGGCUAAAGGCAGACAAACAAGUGGGAGGAAAGCUUGUUGCUUCAGAUUUUCUUGGGCCAUGUGAUCUGGAGACAAACAUAUAGAACAUCUGGGAGGCACUGCAGUGGUUUCACCCAGAUGAGCCCACUGGGAGCUCUUACUACAUGCAGAUGAUGUGCUGUCCAUCGUAGUGGGGGUGAGAAUGAAAAUGGUUAUUUCCAAACUUCCCACUGGCUCUACACAGCCCUCUGCCCACACAGAGGGCAGAUGACUAAACCAGAAUAACUCUGUUUGGUUCAGCCUGGAAACUUAGGAGAUUCUGCCAGCCAAGCUGUGUAUCCAGGUCACAGUCAGAAACAGAGAGAUGAAAAGCAAAAGCAUUUCAUUAAGCACACUGUCUUUUCUGAACUGUGUUUCAAAUUCCAGUCAAGUUUAAAAUGUAAAAAUCUAUACAGGUGGGGAGUUCCUACCAUGGCUCAGUGGUAACACACCCAACUAGUAUCCAUGAGGAUGCGGGUUC
rnacentral:lncRNA from 1 species